rnacentral:rRNA from 1 species
AUUGAACGCUGGCGGCAGGCCUAACACAUGCAAGUCGAACGGUAGCACAGAGAGCUUGCUCUCGGGUGACGAGUGGCGGACGGGUGAGUAAUGUCUGGGAAACUGCCCGAUGGAGGGGGAUAACUACUGGAAACGGUAGCUAAUACCGCAUAACGUCUUCGGACCAAAGUGGGGGACCUUCGGGCCUCACACCAUCGGAUGUGCCCAGAUGGGAUUAGCUAGUAGGUGGGGUAAUGGCUCACCUAGGCGACGAUCCCUAGCUGGUCUGAGAGGAUGACCAGCCACACUGGAGCUGAGACACGGUCCAGACUCCUACGGGAGGCAGCAGUGGGGAAUAUUGCACAAUGGGCGCAAGCCUGAUGCAGCCAUGCCGCGUGUAUGAAGAAGGCCUUCGGGUUGUAAAGUACUUUCAGCGGGGAGGAAGGCGAUGUGGUUAAUAACCGCAUCGAUUGACGUUACCCGCAGAAGAAGCACCGGCUAACUCCGUGCCAGCCGCCGCAGUAAUAC